GUACUGAUGAAGAAUCCUAAACUAGGGCGAAACAGCUGUCCAGUAC
rnacentral:hammerhead_ribozyme from 1 species